rnacentral:rRNA from 1 species
UUUGUUACUUCAAACCAAUCGGACUUCGGUCUGACAUCAAGUGAUAUUGAACAAUUUAGCUGAUCGCACGGUCUAAGAACCGGCGACAUAUCCUUCAAAUGUCUGCCUUAUCAACUUUCGAUGGUAGAUUAUGCGCCUACCAUGGUUGUAACGGGUAACGGAGAAUCAGGGUUUGAUUCCGGARAGGGAGCCUGAGAAACGGCUACCACAUCCAAGGAAGGCAGCAGGCACGCAAAUUACCCACUCCCGGCACGGGGAGGUAGUGACRAAAAAUAACAAGCUGGUCUCAAUGAGUUCCAGCAUUGUAAUGGGAACAAUUUAAAUCUUUUAUCGAGGAUCUAUUGGAGGGCAAGUCUGGUGCCAGCAGCCGCGGUAAUUCCAGCUCCAAUAGCGUAUAUUAAAGUUGUUGCGGUUAAAAAGCUCGUAGUUGGAUCUAGGAUUAGGGCUACGGUCGUUCAGCUUGGACGUACUGUAUGCCCGACUCCUUUUCUCUAGUAUUCGAUUGUUGCUCUUAAAUGAGUGACUUUAGUUGCUGGAACUUUUACCUUGAAAAAAUUGAAGUGCUCAAAGCAGGUU